GGUUCAGUAGUGUAGAGGUUAUCACCCGGGAUUCUGAUAUUGCAGAUUUCGAGAAUCCUCCUUUCGGAACUUCCCGUAACCCAGGUUCGAGUCCUGGUUGGACCU